AGAGUUUGAUCAUGGCUCAGAUUGAACGCUGGCGGCAUGCCUUACACAUGCAAGUCGAACGGUAACGGGCCUUCGGGUGCCGACGAGUGGCGAACGGGUGAGUAAUGUAUCGGAACGUACCUUCAGUGGGGGAUAACGUAGCGAAAGUUACGCUAAUACCGCAUAUUCUGUGAGCAGGAAAGCAGGGGAUCGCAAGACCUUGCGCUGAUUGAGCGGCCGAUAUCAGAUUAGCUAGUUGGUGAGGUAAAGGCUCACCAAGGCGACGAUCUGUAGCGGGUCUGAGAGGAUGAUCCGCCACACUGGAACUGAGACACGGUCCAGACUCCUACGGGAGGCAGCAGGUGGGGAAUUUUGGACAAUGGGGCAACCCUGAUCCAGCCAUGCCGCGUGAGUGAAGAAGGCCUUCGGGUUGUAAAGCUCUUUCGGCCGGGAAGAAAUCGUAUGGGCUAAUACCCUGUGCGGAUGACGGUACCGGCAUAAGAAGCACCGGCUAACUACGUG
rnacentral:rRNA from 1 species